GCACAAACCGUAUUAAUUUGUGGGCGGAAUUGGGUCUUUAAAUUUGAUGAUCGGUUUCAUGCAUCUUACCGAGUUUGGGCUCGAACCCACCCGAACCCGACCGUUGCUCUACCCUAAACAUUUGUAAAUGUUUUCGAAAAGAUCCAUAGAAAUGGAUUCCUCUUUAUAAUAAAUAUAGAUAUAGACAUAGAUAUAGAUGAAAAUUUUAACUUCUUAACUCCGGUGAACAUUUUUUUUUUUUUAAAGAGGAGCAAUAGCGUUCUCCUCAACUUCCGCCCUUCAUGAAUCGAAUCCACUACCCUUUUGGUUGAAGGUAAACAUAACAAAAGAUAAAUAAUAAAAAGUAAUAUAAUUCUUUAAUUGAUCACGCGUUUCAAUUGCACAUUUUCUUUCGGUUAUAAUACUCCUAAAUAAACAUUUUUUUCUCAUCUAAAUAAAAAAACUUCCUUCACUUUCAUAAAAAGUUUCCUUCUUACAAAAACCUAGGUUGCACAUUCUUUGCCAGCGUGUGGUCCUUGGUCCUUCAAUGGUUGCGUAUCUCCUUCAUCGCCCAACUGCAGUUCACGAUCAUCUUCUUCAGUUCAGUCUCCUGGAUGGGUUCUCGAGAUCAACACAUUAUUUCUUCAAAAUAAUCUGACUAGCUUGUGUCUGGGUUAUUUGGAAGGAAAGGAACAAUCAGGUGUUUAAUUAGAAGGCACAAGACUCACAUUCUAUUUCAGACAAAGUUAAGCUGCUUUCUUUACUUUGAUUAAAGGCUAAUAUGGUUACUUUUGAUUUCGACUACCACGACCGGUGGUGGCGCACCCUUUAUCUUGUAUAGGUGUCAUGUUGUAAUCUUCGGUCUAUUUUGUUUUUUUUUUCAUCGUGCGCUCUUUUGAGGCGCAAGUGACUUAACUUUGUAAUAAUUUUUUAGUGGUUCUCUUUUGCAUGCCUUGUGCUAGAGGAAUCACUUGUGUGGUUAGUAAUAUUGGCUUGUUUAGAAAAAAAUUAGCAAUCAUUUAUUUAUUAUAUCAAGAUUGUACGUUUUUUAUACAAUAACACGUGGUUGUUGUAUUAAUAUGAAAUAGCUAAUAUAAUAACAUUUGUAACUUC
rnacentral:lncRNA from 1 species